NNAUGCGAUCAUACCAGCACUAAAGCACCGGAUCCCAUCAGAACUCUGAAGUUAAGCGUGCUUGGGCGAGAGUAGUACUAGGAUGGGUGACCUCCUGGGAAGUCCUCGUGUUGCAUUCC
rnacentral:rRNA from 1 species